CACAUGGGGCACGUCACUCUCAAUGGAAAAGUGUUCAAGUGCAGUCAGAGUGAAGCUGAAAGAAAAACCAACAACCAGUUAAAAAUAGUACAAAGAAAUUUUCUCUCUUGCGAUCUGCAAGCAGUAGCUGUAUCCGAAAAUGGAAAUGUGUAAAAAUUGUGUCCCAGCAGACGAGCAGCAGUGCGAUUAUUGCAAAAUGCAAGGGCAAGGGCCCACGUAGUAUUUUUCCACGUCGGGCAUUAUUGGCUCUCGAGUUGGAAACAAAGAAGUCAGACUGCAAACCCACUGGAAAAAUGUGAUUAGUCAUCAAUUUUGCUGGUCAGCGUCGGGGAAUUUCGCAAUGCGGGAAACAGUUUUCUUGAAUUUGGCUAGAAAGUGAUACACUAGGCAGUCUGAGGCAGUUAUCCAGGAUGUCAGGACGUGCAGUACUCUGUGUCGAAUGGCGAUGGCCCUGACCUGCGGAUUUUGAAAGCUUACGAUAGGAAGCCAGGUAUACAUACACAGCAACGAAUGCAGCGUGUUCGAUAUUCUUAAUUCGUAAGCCCAACCUAUGUUUAAGACGUAGUCUAUAACCGAAUGUAGCGAAAUACGUUUUUAAACGUCGCAUCAAAGCCAUUUAUUCUGAAGCCUUUGCAAUUUCAUCAUGUUGCGUAAUCGCGAAUUGUAAAUGUUUCCCUACUAUUUUACAUUGUAUGUGUAUAUCUGUAUUCAAGUCGAAAAUGCUCGAACUAUUCUCGUCCGCAACCCCCCCGGAUCGAACGGCCACCAACUGCCUCGCUCUCUUUAUAAACAGCGUACUCAUACGCCCCGUUUACAAUCGCCUCUCUACCAUUCGGGUAUACACAUUUUAUAUAUAUAUUUAUAUAUAUAUAUAUACACUUAAAGUGUACAACGGUAGCUGCGCACCGACCUCUUUACUUGCCUUUCCUCAGUUUUGCUUCCCGAUACUUAUAUAUGUAUGUAUGUAUGUAUAAGGUGUUUUUCAGCGGAAAUGUCGGCAGCCUGACUUUGUCCCAUCACGUCUCUGUCGCUUCUUUUGGCUAUUUAAUCUACAUAGAUCCUAGUCGACUUAACAUUUAUCUAGCUGUUAAUCUUAUUUGUAACCAUCUCUAUAUGCUACCUGCCAUACCACUUAACCAAGCAAUAUGUAUUUCUUUCUCUAAACUUUAUAGUUGGGCGUUGAAAGUUGAUAUCGAUAUCGAUCCGUGAAAAGUCGAUACCCUGCGCAAGCAUGGGGCGGCAUAUGGGUGCUGAAAGUGCACUCGGCCCGAUCCAGAUUGCAGCGUUAUUCAAAAGCUGAGUCUGCGACCGUGACUGAGAUCAUAUGCGUAUAUAUAUCUAAUGUCCGGGGUCGUAGGCCAGCCAGGGUGCUCAAUUCGGUCAGAUUGAUUGUGCGGAUUGUGUUAUAGGAACACUGGUGUAUCGACUUCUCUGCUCCACUAUGGGUGAAGGAUACCCUCCCGAAAAGGCCUUCUGUCGCUUACUAUCACCGAACAAGUUCCGUAACGGGCAGACAUACGUAAACGUGGCAGCACAUUCCGUUCAAUGACACAUCGUCUCUGGAUUAGUAAUUGAACCAACGAGCACGAAUAUACCCUGCCAGUUGGUUGUAAAUAUUAAUUUUGUUCUUUUGUUCAGUUGUAAAAUCAAUACGGAAUACAUUUCCACACCAACCAUGUGUCACUUAUGUUCUUAAAUACCUGAAACUGUUUAAAUUUUUGUUCUUAUACACUUCACAAAUUAAGAAUUAACUGUACUGAUGUAAGUGUACCUAUUGAAGCACAACAAAAAUAGAAAAAAUGAAAAAUUAUUAACAAAAGAGCUCUAUACUAGAAAAGCCACAGAAGAAGUAAAUAAAAAAUUCCAAAAUUCAACAAAUAAAUCUCGAAACAUUUGCUCGUGAUAUUUUUAUUUCAAGAAAAGAUCCGAUUUCAGUUGUACCAUCUAGCUUAAAUGUAGCGUUGAAAGAAUACUCCUAGUCCCUCGGAGGAAGGGCCCUUAUCAAGAUGCCAAUAGCGUUCGUCUCAUACACAAAUUACUCAGACGUUCUAGUGUCUACAAUUGAGGAAAGGGCUAUUGAUCUCAUUUGGGCGCUAAAAGUUUGUAUUGGAACGAGAUUGAAGGUUUAAAAUCAGCUGAAAAGUACGUAUAAAUAUUCCGCUUUAUUUUUCUCCACAUUUAUAGGACUUCAAAACUAUAUUUAUUGGACAAGUCAACGGAAGUUCUUUUGUUUGGAGUUCGCCAAUGACGUACACCGUUACACUUAUUCUUGCGCACAAGAUAAAAUUAUGUUUUGAUUGACAAAUAAACAUAUACGUUCUAAAUGAUUCGAUGUACUCAAUUAAUGUACCAAAGCAAAUUAUACAGGCGACUCGUGUUACAUUAAGAGAACUGCAGAAAUAACUAUAUAGAUAUAGCAUAACAAAUAGAAAAUUUAAGGAUCUAAACGGUGUACUUUCAAUAAACCAUUCUGAUCUUUGAUCAUUUAAAUCUGCAAUGAAAAAUUGUAUUCAUUACAAGGUAUAAUACUUUUUAUACCACAGUAACAUGAAAAAUUCAAAAAGCCCAUAUAUUAUCUUUCGGAACCGCUUAGCCUAAUGGUCAAGUAAACUAAAAUUUAUAUACAAUAAUUUAUUUACAUAGGUAGUGUACGAUAUACAUACAUAUAACUGUCUUCCAAAAAUCGAGUUAUUUUGAAACUCUAAAAGAUCUUGCAAGGUCGGACCUAAAGGUCAACUUAAUAGGUAGGUAUAGAUCUUAAGGUAAAAUCAACUGAAAAUUGUAAAAUCCAUAUAGGUAGGGUGUGAUAUUAAUCUGUUCCCAUUCACGAUCUCGUUUCAUAAUCAACUACAAAAUAAGAAAAACUUGAAAGGUAGGAUUUAUGAAGAAUUCUAAUUGACUUAAUAGGUAGGAAUUGAACUUACGCUGUUUUUUAUAUGGUAUACGUCGGCAACUACAACAUAAGCCACAAUAAUAUGAACCCUUCAAUAUUAGGUAUGAUUUAUCUCUAUUACCCCAAACAUUAUCAGUCGAAAAGGCUUAGCCUCUUGGUAAAAUCAACUUAAAAUUGUAAAAUCCAUAUAGGUAGAGGUGAUAUUAAACCGUUCCCAUUCCCGAUACUUCAGCAACUACAACAUAAGCCACAAUAAUAUGAACCCUUCAAUAUUAGGUAUGAUUUAUCUCUAUUACCCCAAACAUUAUCCGUCGAAAAGGCUUAGCCUCUUGGUAAAAUCAACUUAAAAUUGUAAAAUCCAUAUAGGUUGGAUGUGAUAUUUAACUGUUCCCAUACAUGAUCGCGUUUCAUAAUCAACUACAAAAUAAGAAAAUCUUCAAAGGUAGGAUUUAUGAAGAAUUCUAAUUGACUUAAUAGGUAGAAAUUGAACUUACGCUGUUUUUUAUAUGGUAUACGUCGGCAACUACAACAUAAACCACAAUAUUAUGAUCCCUUUAAUAAUAGGUAUGAUUUAUCUCUAUUACCCCAGUAAUAAUCAGUCGAAAGGGCUUAUCAUCUCGGUAAAAUCAACCCAAAAUUGUAAAAUCCAUAUAGGUAGAGGUGAUGUUAAACCGUUCCCAUUCACGAUACUUCAGCAACUACAACAUAAACGACAAAAAUAUGAACCCUUCAAUAAUAAGUAUAAUUUAACUCGAUUACCCCAAACAUAAUCAGUCAAAAAGCCUUUGCCUCUUGGUAAAAUCAACUUAAAAUUGUAAAAUCCAUAUAGGUUGGAUGUGAUAUUUAACUGUUCCCAUACAUGAUCGCGUUUCAUAAUCAACUACAAAAUAAGAAAAACUUGAAAGGUAGGAUUUAUGAAGAAUUCUAAUUGAAUUAAUAGGUAGGAAUUGAACUUACGCUGUUUUUUAUAUGGUAUACGUCGGCAACUACAACAAAAGCCACAAUAAUAUGAACCCUUCAAUUUUAGGAAUGAUUUAUCUCUAUUACCCCAAACAUUAUCAGUCGAAAAGCUUAGCCUCUUGGUAAAAUCAACUCAAAAUUGUAAAAUCCAUAUAGGUAGGAUGUGAUAUUACACUGUUCCCAUAAACGAUCGCGUUUCAUUAUCAACUACAAAAUAAGAAAAACUUGAAAGGUAGGAUCUUGAAGAAUUCUUAUUGAUUUAAUAGGUAGGAAUUGAACUUACGCUGUUUUUUAUAUGGUAUACGUCGGCAACUACAACAUAAGCCACAAUAAUAUGAACCCUUCAAUAUUAGGUAUGAUUUAUCUCUAUUACCCCAAACAUUAUCCGUCGAAAAGGCUUAGCCUCUUGGUAAAAUCAACUUAAAAUUGUAAAAUCCAUUUAGGUUGGAUGUGAUAUUUAACUGUUCCCAUACAUGAUCGCGUUUCAUAAUCAACUACAAAAUAAGAAAAACUUGAAAGGUAGGAUUUAUGAAGAGUUCUAAUUGACUUAAUAGGUAGGAAUUGAACUUACGCUGUUUUUUUAUAUGGUAUACGUCGGCAACUACAACAUAAACCACAAUAUUAUGAUCCCUUUAAUAAUAGGUAUGAUUUAUCUCUAUUACCCCAGUAAUAAUCAGUCGAAAGGGCUUAUCAUCUCGGUAAAAUCAACUCAAAAUUGUAAAAUCCAUAUAGGUAGAGGUGAUGUUAAACCGUUCCCAUUCACGAUACUUCAGCAACUACAACAUAAACGACAAAAAUAUGAACCCUUCAAUAAUAGGUAUAAUUUAACUCGAUUACCCCAAACAUUAUCCGUCGAAAAGGCUUAGCCUCUUGGUAAAAUCAACUUAAAAUUGUAAAAUCCAUUUAGGUUGGAUGUGAUAUUUAACUGUUCCCAUACAUGAUCGCGUUUCAUAAUCAACUACAAAAUAAGAAAAACUUGAAAGGUAGGAUUUAUGAAGAGUUCUAAUUGACUUAAUAGGUAGGAAUUGAACUUACGCUGUUUUUUUAUAUGGUAUACGUCGGCAACUACAACAUAAACCACAAUAUUAUGAUCCCUUUAAUAAUAGGUAUGAUUUAUCUCUAUUACCCCAGUAAUAAUCAGUCGAAAGGGCUUAUCAUCUCGGUAAAAUCAACUCAAAAUUGUAAAAUAAUAGGUAUAAUUUAUCGCUAUUACCCCAAACAUUAUCAGUCGAAAAGUCUUAGCCUUUUCGUUAAGUCAACUUUAAAUUGUAAAAUCCAUAUAAAUAGGGUGUGAUAUUAAACUGUUCCCAUUCACGAUCGCGUUUCAUAAUCAACUACAAAAUAAGAAAAACUUGAAAGGUAGGAUUUAUAAAGAAUUCUAAUUGACUUAUUAGGUAGGAAUUGAACUUACGCUGUUUUUUAUAUGGUAUACGUCGGCAACUACAACAUAAGCCACAAUAAUAUGAACCCUUCAAUAUUAGGUAUGAUUUAUCUCUAUUACCCCAGUAAUAAUCAGUCAAAAGGGCAUAUCAUCUCGGUAAAAUCAACUUAAAAUUGUAAAAUCCAUAUAGGUAGAGGUGAUAUUAAACCGUCCCCAUUCACGAUACUUCAGCAACUACAACAUAAACCACAAAAAUAUGAACCCUUCAAUAAUAGGUAUAAUUUAACUCGAUUACCCCAAACAUAAUCAGUCAAAAAGCCUUAGCCUCUUGGUAAAAUCAACUCAAAAUUGUAAAAUCCAUAUAGGUAGGAUGUGAUAUUAAACUGUUCCCAUAAACGAUCGCGUUUCAUUAUCAACUACAAAAUAAGAAAAACUUGAAAGGUAGGAUUUAUGAAGAGUUCUAAUUGAAUUAAUAGGUAGGAAUUGAACUUACGCUGUUUUUUAUAUGGUAUACGUCGGCAACUACAACAAAAGCCACAAUAAUAUGAACCCUUCAAUUUUAGGAAUGAUUUAUCUCUAUUACCCCAAACAUAAUCAGUCGAAAAGCUUAGCCUCUUGGUAAAAUCAACUCAAAAUUGUAAAAUCCAUAUAGGUUGGAUGUGAUAUUUAACUGUUCCCAUACAUGAUCGCGUUUCAUAAUCAACUACAAAAUAAGAAAAACUUGAAAGGUAGGAUUUAUGAAGAGUUCUAAUUGACUUAAUAGGUAGGAAUUGAACUUACGCUGUUUUUUUAUAUGGUAUACGUCGGCAACUACAACAUAAACCACAAUAUUAUGAUCCCUUUAAUAAUAGGUAUGAUUUAUCUCUAUUACCCCAGUAAUAAUCAGUCGAAAGGGCUUAUCAUCUCGGUAAAAUCAACUCAAAAUUGUAAAAUCCAUAUAGGUAAAGGCGAUGUUAAACCGUUCCCAUUCACGAUACUUCAGCAACUACAACAUAAACCACAAAAAUAUGAACCCUUCAAUAAUAGGUAUAAUUUAACUCGAUUACCCCAAACAUAAUCAGUCAAAAAGCCUUUGCCUCUUGGUAAAAUCAACUCAAAAAUUGUAAAAUCCAAACAUUAUCAGUCGAAAAGGCUUAGCCUCUUGGUAAAAUCAACUUAAAAUUGUAAAAUCCAUAUAGGUUGGAUGUGAUAUUUAACUGUUCCCAUACAUGAUCGCGUUUCAUAAACAACUACAAAAUACGAAAAACUUGAAAGGUAGGUUUUAUGAAGAAUUCUAAUUGACUUAAUAGGUAGGAAUUGAACUUACGCUGUUUCUUAUAUGGUAUACGUCGGCAACUACAACAUAAGCCACAAUAAUAUGAACCCUUCAAUAUUAGGUAUGAUUUAUCUCUAUUACCCCAAACAUUAUCAGUCGAAAAGGCUUAGCCUCUUGGUAAAAUCAACUUAAAAUUGUAAAAUCCAUAUAGGUUGGAUGUGAUAUUUAACUGUUCCCAUACAUGAUCGCGUUUCAUAAACAACUACAAAAUACGAAAAACUUGAAAGGUAGGAUUUAUGAAGAAUUCUAAUUGACUUAAUAGGUAGAAAUUGAACUUACGCGUUUUUUAUAUGGUAUACGUCGGCAACUACAACAUAAGCCACAAUAAUAUGAACCCUUCAAUAUUAGGUAUGAUUUAUCUCUAUUACCCCAAACAUUAUCAGUCGAAAAGGCUUAGCCUCUUGGUAAAAUCAACUUAAAAUUGUAAAAUCCAUAUAGGUAGGAUGUGGUAUUAAACUGUUCCCAUAAACGAUCGCGUUUCAUUAUCAACUACAAAAUAAGAAAAACUUGAAAGGUAGGAUUUAUGAAGAAUUCUAAUUGAAUUAAUAGGUAGGAAUUGAACUUACGCUGUUUUUUAUAUGGUAUACGUCGGCAACUACAACAAAAGCCACAAUAAUAUUAACCCUUCAAUAUUAGGAAUGAUUUAUCUCUAUUACCCCAAACAUUAUCAGUCGAAAAGCUUAGCCUCUUGGUAAAAUCAACUCAAAAUUGUAAAAUCCAUAUAGGUAGGAUGUGAUAUUAAACUGUUCCCAUAAACGAUCGCGUUUCAUUAUCAACUACAAAAUAAGAAAAACUUGAAAGGUAGGAUUUAUGAAGAAUUCUAAUUGAAUUAAUAGGUAGGAAUUGAACUUACGCUGUUUUUUAUAUGGAAUACGUCGGCAACUACAACAAAAGCCACAAUAAUAUGAACUCUUCAAUAUUAGGAAUGAUUUAUCUCUAUUACCCCAAACAUUAUCAGUCGAAAAGCUUAGCCUCUUGGUAAAAUCAACUCAAAAUUGUAAAAUCCAUAUAGGUAGGAUGUGAUAUUAAACUGUUCCCAUAAACGAUCGCGUUUCAUUAUCAACUACAAAAUAAGAAAAACUUGAAAGGUAGGAUUUAUGAAGAAUUCUAAUUGAAUUAAUAGGUAGGAAUUGAACUUACGCUGUUUUUUAUAUGGUAUACGUCGGCAACUACAACAAAAGCCACAAUAAUAUGAACCCUUCAAUAUUAGGAAUGAUUUAUCUCUAUUACCCCAAACAUUAUCAGUCGAAAAGCUUAGCCUCUUGGUAAAAUCAACUCAAAAUUGUAAAAUCCAUAUAGGUAGGAUGUGAUAUUAAACUGUUCCCAUAAACGAUCGCGUUUCAUUAUCAACUACAAAAUAAGAAAAACUUGAAAGGUAGGAUUUAUGAAGAAUUCUAAUUGAAUUAAUAGGUAGGAAUUGAACUUACGCUAUUUUUUAUAUGGAAUACGUCGGCAACUACAACAAAAGCCACAAUAAUAUGAACCCUUCAAUAUUAGGUAUGAUUUAUCUUUAUUACCCCAAACAUUAUCCGUCGAAAAGGCUUAGCCUCUUGGUAAAAUCAACUCAAAAUUGUAAAAUCCAUAUAGGUAGGAUGUGAUAUUAAACUGUUCCCAUAAACGAUCGCGUUUCAUUAUCAACUACAAAAUAAGAAAAACUUGAAAGGUAGGAUUUAUGAAGAAUUCUAAUUGAAUUAAUAGGUAGGAAUUGAACUUACGCUGUUUUUUAUAUGGUAUACGUCGGCAACUACAACAAAAGCCACAAUAAUAUUAACCCUUCAAUAUUAGGAAUGAUUUAUCUCUAUUACCCCAAACAUUAUCAGUCGAAAAGCUUAGCCUCUUGGUAAAAUCAACUCAAAAUUGUAAAAUCCAUAUAGGUAGGAUGUGAUAUUAAACUGUUCCCAUAAACGAUCGCGUUUCAUUAUCAACUACAAAAUAAGAAAAACUUGAAAGGUAGGAUUUAUGAAGAAUUCUUAUUGAAUUAAUAGGUAGGAAUUGAACUUACGCUGUUUUUUAUAUGGAAUACGUCGGCAACUACAACAAAAGUCACAAUAAUAUGAACCCUUCAAUAUUAGGAAUGAUUUAUCUCUAUUACCCCAAACAUUAUCAGUCGAAAAGCUUAGCCUCUUGGUAAAAUCAACUCAAAAUUGUAAAAUCCAUAUAGGUAGGAUGUGAUAUUAAACUGUUCCCAUAAACGAUCGCGUUUCAUUAUCAACUACAAAAUAAGAAAAACUUGAAAGGUAGGAUUUAUGAAGAAUUCUAAUUGAAUUAAUAGGUAGGAAUUGAACUUACGCUGUUUUUUAUAUGGUAUACGUCGGCAACUACAACAAAAGCCACAAUAAUAUGAACCCUUCAAUAUUAGGUAUGAUUUAUCUUUAUUACACCAAACAUUAUCCGUCGAAAAGGCUUAGCCUCUUGGUAAAAUCAACUUAAAAUUGUAAAAUCCAUUUAGGUUGGAUGUGAUAUUUAACUGUUCCCAUACAUGAUCGCGUUUCAUAAUCAACUACAAAAUAAGAAAAACUUGAAAGGUAGGAUUUAUGAAGAGUUCUAAUUGACUUAAUAGGUAGGAAUUGAACUUACGCUGUUUUUUUAUAUGGUAUACGUCGGCAACUACAGCAUAAACCACAAUAUUAUGAUCCCUUUAAUAAUAGGUAUGAUUUAUCUCUAUUACCCCAGUAAUAAUCAGUAGAAAGGGCUUAUCAUCUCCGUAAAAUCAACUCAAAAUUGUAAAAUCCAUAUAGGUAAAGGUGAUGUUAAACCGUUCCCAUUCACGAUACUUCAUCAACUACAACAUAAACCACAAAAAUAUGAACCCUUCAAUAAUAGAUAUAAUUUAUCUCUAUUACCCCAAACAUUAUCAGUCGAAAAGUCUUAGCCUUUUCGUUAAAUCAACUUUAAAUUGUAAAAUCUAUAUAAAUAGGGUGUGAUAUUAAACUGUUCCCAUUCACGAUCGCGUUUCAUAAUCAACUACAAAAUAAGAAAAACUUGAAAGGUAGGAUUUAUAAAGAAUUCUAAUUGACUUAUUAUGUAGGAAUUGAACUUACGCUGUUUUUUAUAUGGUAUACGUCGGCAACUACAACAUAAGCCACAAUAAUAUGAACCCUUCAAUAAUAGGUAUAAUUUAACUCGAUUAUCCCAAACAUAAUCAGUCGAAAAGCCUUAGCCUCUUGGUAAAAUCAACUUAAAAUUGUAAAAUCCAUAUAGGUUGGAUGUGAUAUUUAACUGUUCCCAUACAUGAUCGCGUUUCAUAAUAAACUACAAAAUAAGAAAAACUUGAAAGGUAGGUUUUAUGAAGAAUUCUAAUUGACUUAAUAGGUAGGAAUUGAACUUACGCUGUUUUUUAAAUGGUAUACGUCGGCAACUACAACAUAAGCCACAAUAAUAUGAACCCUUCAAUAUUAGGUAUGAUUUAUCUCUAUUACCCCAAACAUUAUCAGUCGAAAAGGCUUAGCCUCUUGGUGAUAUCAACUCAAAAUUGUAAAAUCCAUAUAGAUAGGAUGUGAUAUUAGUCUGUUCCCAUACUCGAUCGCAUUUCAUAAUCAAUUACAAAAUAAGAAAAACUUGAAAGGUAGGAUUUUUAAAGAAUUCUAAUUGACUUAAUAGGUAGGAAUUGAACAUACGCCGUUUUUUAUCUGAUAUACUUUGGCAACUACAACAUAAGCCACAAAAUUAUGAUCCCUUCAAUAUUAGGUAUGAUUUAUCUCUAUUACCCCAAACACUAUCAGUCGAAAAGGCUUAGCCUCUUGGUGAUAUCAACUCAAAAUUGUAAAAUCCAUAUAGAUAGGAUGUGAUAUUAGUCUGUUCCCAUACUCGAUCGCAUUUCAUAAUCAAUUACAAAAUAAGAAAAACUUGAAAGGUAGGAUUUUUAAAGAAUUCUAAUUGACUUAAUAGGUAGGAAUUUAAAAUACGCCGUUUUUUAUCUGAUAUACUUUGACAACUACAACAUAAGCCACAAAAUUAUGAUCCCUUCAAAAUUAGGUAUGAUUUAUCUCUAUUACCCCAAACACUAUCAGUCGAAAAGGCUUAGCCUCUUGGGAAAAUCAACUCAAAAUUGUAAAAUCCAAAUAGGUAGGGGUGAUACUAAACUGUUCCCGUUCACGAUAUUUUAGCAACUACAACAUAAGCAACAAAAAUAUGAACCCUUCAAUAAUAGGUAUAAUUUAUCUCUAUUACCCCAGUAAUAAUCAGUCGAAAGGGCUUAUCAUCUCGGUAAAAUCAACUCAAAAUUGUAAAAUCCAUAUAGGUAGGGGUGAUAUUGAACUGUUCCCUUUCACGAUACUUCAGGAACUGCAACAUAAACCGCAAUAAUAUGAACCCUUCAAUAAUAGGUAUGAUUUAUCUCUAUUACCCCAAACAUUAUCAGUCGAAAAUGCUUAGCCUCUUGGUAAAAUCAACUCAAAAUUGUAAAAUCCAUAUAGGUUGGAUGUGAUAUUUAACUGUUCCCAUACAUGAUCGCGUUUCAUAAUAAACUACAAAAUAAGAAAAACUUGAAAGGUAGGAUUUAUGAAGAAUUCUAAUUGACUUAAUAGGUAGGAAUUGAACUUACGCUGUUUUUUAAAUGGUAUACGUCGGCAACUACAACAUAAGCCACAAUAAUAUGAACCCUUCAAUAUUAGGUAUGAUUUAUCUCUAUUACCCCAAACAUUAUCAGUCGAAAAGGCUUAGCCUCUUGGUAAAAUUAACUUAAAAUUGUAAAAUCCAUAUAGGUUGGAUGUGAUAUUUAACUGUUCCCAUACAUGAUCGCGUUUCAUAAUCAACUACAAAAUAAGAAAAACCUAAAAGGUAGGACUUAUAAAUAAUUCUAAUUGACUUAUUAGGUAGGAAUUGAACUUACGCUGUUUUUGAUAUGGUAUACGUCGGCAACUACAACAUAAGCCACAAUAAUAGGUAUAAUUUAACUCGAUUAUCCCAAACAUAAUCAGUCGAAAAGCCUUAGCCUCUUGGUGAUAUCAACUCAAAAUUGUAAAAUCCAUAUAGAUAGGAUGUGAUAUUAGUCUGUUCCCAUACUCGAUCGCAGUUCAUAAUCAAUUACAAAAUAAGAAAAACUUGAAAGGUAGGAUUUUUAAAGAAUUCUAAUUGACUUGAUAGGUAGGAAUUGAACAUACGCCGUUUUUUAUCUGAUAUACUUUGGCAACUACAACAUAAGCCACAAAAUUAUGAUCCCUUCAAUAUUAGGUAUGAUUUAUCUCUAUUACCCCAAACACUAUCAGUCGAAAAGGCUUAGCCUCUUGGUGAUAUCAACUCAAAAUUGUAAAAUCCAUAUAGAUAGGAUGUGAUAUUAGUCUGUUCCCAUACUCGAUCGCAUUUCAUAAUCAAUUACAAAAUAAGAAAAACUUGAAAGGUAGGAUUUUUAAAGAAUUCUAAUUGACUUAAUAGCAGGAAUAGGUAGGAAUUUAAAAUACGCCGUUUUUUAUCUGAUAUACUUUGACAACUACAACAUAAGCCACAAAAUUAUGAUCCCUUCAAUAUUAGGUAUGAUUUAUCUCUAUUACCCCAAACACUAUCAGUCGAAAAAGGCUUAGCCUCUUGGGAAAAUCAACUCAAAAUUGUAAAAUCCAAAUAGGUAGGGGUGAUACUAAACUGUUCCCAUUCACGAUACUUCAGCAACUACAACAUAAACCGCAAUAAUAUGAACCCUUCAAUAAUAGGUAUGAUUUAUCUCUAUUACCCCAGUAAUAAUCAGUCGAAAGGGCUUAUCAUCUCGGUAAAAUCAACUCAAAAUUGUAAAAUCCAUAUAGGUUGGAUGUGAUAUUUAACUGUUCCCAUACAUGAUCGCGUUUCAUAAUAAACUACAAAAUAAGAAAAACUUGAAAGGUAGGAUUUAUAAAAAAUUCUAAUUGACUUAAUAGGUAGGAAUUGAACUUACGCUGUUUUUUAUAUGGUAUACGUCGGCAACUACAACAUAAGCCACAAUAAAGAAUUCUAAUUGACUUAAUAGGUAGGAAUUGAACUUACGCCGUUUUUUAUAUGAUAUACUUCGGCAACUACAACAUAAGCCACAAUAAUAGGUAUAAUUUAACUCGAUUAUCCCAAACAUAAUCAGUCGAAAAGCCUUAGCCUCUUGGUAAAAUCAACUUAAAAUUGUAAAAUCCAUAUAGGUUGGAUGUGAUAUUUAACUGUUCCCAUACAUGAUCGCGUUUCAUAAUCAACUACAAAAUAAGAAAAACUUGAAAGGUAGGAUUUAUAAAGAAUUCUAAUUGACUUAUUAGGUAGAAAUUGAACUUACGCUGUUUUUUAAAUGGUAUACGUCGGCAACUACAACAUAAGCCACAAUAAUAUGAACCCUUCAAUAUUAGGUAUGUUAUAUCUCUAUUACCCCAAACAUUAUCAGUAGAAAAGGCUUAGCCUCUUGGUAAAAUCAACUCAAAAUUGUAAAAUCCAUAUAGGUUGGAUGUGAUAUUUAACUGUUCCCAUUCACGAUACUUCAGCAAGUACAACAUAAGCCACAAUAAUAUGAACCCUUCAAUAAUAGGUAUGAUUUAUCUCUAUUACCCCAAACAUUAUCAGUCGAAAAGGCUUAGCCUCUUGGUAAAAUCAACUCAAAAUUGUAAAAUCCAUAUAGGUAGGGUGUGAUAUUAAACUGUUCCCAUACAUGAUCGCGUUUCAUAAUCAACUACAAAAUAAGAAAAACUUUAAAGGUAGGAUUUAUAAAGAAUUCUAAUUGACUUAAUAGGUAGGAAUUGAACUUACGCCGUUUUUUAUAUGAUAUACUUCGGCAACUACAACAUGAGCCACAAUAAUAUGAACCCUUCAAUAUUAGGUAUGAUUUAUCUCUAUUACCCCAAACAUUAUAAGUCGAAAAGUCUUAGCCUCUUGGUAAAAUCAACUCAAAAUUUUAAAAUCCAUAUAGGUAGGGUGUGAUAUUAAACUUUUUCCAUUCACGAUCGCGUUUCAUAAUCAACUACAAAA